rnacentral:rRNA from 1 species
CGCGUAGGCGGCCUGCUAAGUCUGAAGUGAAAGUCCUGCUUUCAAGGUGGGAAGUGCUUUGGAUACUGGUGGGCUGGAGUGCAGGAGAGGAAAGCGGAAUUACCGGUGUAGCGGUGAAAUGCGUAGAGAUCGGUAGGAACACCAGUGGCGAAGGCGGCUUUCUGGACUGAAACUGACGCUGAGGCGCGAAAGCGUGGGAGCAAACA